ACCGUCUGAAACACUACUAGCUGACAUUUUGAAAACGCUCAGAGACUUUUAUGUGCCAAAGAAAUCACACUAAUGACUACUACUACUGCUAAAGCAACAGUUGAGGUGAUGUGUAGUAUGUUUGCCAGCUAUAGAUUACCUAAGGUAAUUGUUUCGGCCAAUGGACCUCAAUUUGUAAACCUUUAAGCAGUCAUUGGACAAGCAAAAACAAUUAGGCAUCACACUUCCACAUUGCAUUGACAGAUAUUUUUUUCUGUUGCAGAAAUACUUCAGUCCCAUCUGAAUUGUUUCUGAAAAGAAAAAUUAGAAGAAGGCUAUCACAGAUACAGCCACAGUUCUCUUCUCAAAUGCAGGAAAAGCAGCAAACGCAAAUAAGAAGUUCAGUUCAUGUGAGAGUAUUUUAUCCACAGCAGAAGGUACAUGUGAAGCAGUUCAGGGGAAGGGAAGAGAAGUGGAAGGCCAUUAGGUCCAGUUACGUACCUGGUCUGGGUAAAGGGCAAGUCCUACAAAAAGCAUGUAGAUCAGUUAAAAGCAACAAAAUGAAUGAAUACUGAGCAGGAUGUGGAAGAGCUGUCAGACAAAACGUCUGUGACACUUCAGGAACAGGGUUAAGAGCAAGUGAAAAUUCAACAGUAGUAUCAGAAAUAUCUCAAAGGUCUGUUAACAUUAAGCCUUUCUGUGUCAGAAGAGUAUGCCAGAGGUUAAAUCUGUAAAACCCCAAUGAAUCUGGAUAAAGAUGCUGUGGAUUUUUUGUUAAGGGUUUAUUUAUUUAUUCAUUUAUUUAUUUAUUUUGGUUGGUUGUUGUGUCAUUUGGGAAAAUGGUACAGUGAGUGUAGUGUAUUAAAUAUAAUACAAAAAAAGUAAAAAAAUAUGUUUUGGGAUGAGUUGGAAAAGUAGUAAAUUGUUAUUGUCUGUUUUUAAAGACAAAUGUGUUGAUAUAGUCUAGGACGUGUAUGUACAAAAAGAAAGUAGAGCCAUGGUGCCAUGUGAUGUGAAGGGUGUGCUUGUGUAUGCACUAUGAGGUACAUGGUGUUCAUGUCAAGUCUGUUAAUAAACUUCAGUUCAUGUUAUAAUGUGGUUUCUUCCUCAGCUCAGAAAUUCCAGAUGUCCACCCAGCCACGACACUACUGUAGUUCCAUUUUGACAACUAUGAUGCAGUUCUGUCUUUUGUGCUUGUUAACAACAAUCACUGGAACUUGCUGAAGGUUGAUCUGAAAAAGAGACCUCAGUCUGGGAAUUCCUCCACAUCUAAGAGUACAUCCCCUACCCUGACUCCAUCGCCAUCCCCAACUCCUAAGCCUCUAAUUGGUGAAACCCUGUCUUCUGCUUCUUCCCAACCAUGUUCUAAAAGUAGUGGUGGCUCCAGCAGUGGCAGCAUCACUGAUGAAGACACAUACCUGGAGGACUGAGGGAGUAUCUGACGAUUCUCCCAGCAAAUCCACAGCUUCUGCAAUAAAUUAGUUUAAUUCCAGGCAUCCUGAUGAACUCCACCUCCCCAUCAGGAUCCACACGCUGCCAUCUAUUCAGAGGGGCUUCUUGAUUGCCAUCCUCUUCGUCCCGCCUCCUCCUUAUGCCCUGGUGUGGGACAGGAGUUAUCAUUGUGGCAGGAGCAUAAUACAUACCAGCCACAAUGUUGUGGAUGUCGAUAUUGAAAUAAG